rnacentral:rRNA from 1 species
GACGAACGCUGGCGGCGUGCCUAAUACAUGCAAGUCGAACGGAAAGGCACUGCCUUUGUUCUCUGCAUGAGUGGCGAACGGGUGAGUAACACGUGAGUAACCUGCCUUUUACCUGGGGAUAACUAUUGGAAACUGGAGCUAAUACCGCAUAAGAGCACAUGUUGCAUGACGUGGGCUGGAAAGUUUCAGUGGCAGCGGUAGGACUUGCGGCUUCUUAGCUUGUUGGUGGGGUAGUGGUUUAGCAAGGCUUUGACGGGUAGCCGGCCUGAGAGGGUGACCGGCCACAUUGGGACUGAGAUACGGCCCAGACUCCUACGGGAGGCAGCAGUGGGGAAUAUUGCACAAUGGGCGGAAGCCUGAUGCAGCAACGCCGCGUGCGAGAUGACGGCCGUCGGGUUGUAAACCGCUUUCGCCUGUGACGAAGCGUGAGUGACGGUAAUGGGUAAAGAAGCACCGGCUAACUACGUG